UCUUACCGGGGAGGCCAGGCAGUAGGAUCUCGGCCGUGGACCGAAGUCUGAGCCGAGCCACCGCGCGUGAGUGAAGAAGUUUUCGAUCGUAAAACUCUGUUGUUAGAGAGAGAAGGACGUUAGUAAACUGAAACGUCCCCUGACGGUAUCUAAACCAGAAAGCCCACGGCUAAACUACGUGCCAGCAGCCGCGGUAAUACGUAGGUGGCAAGCGUUGUCCGGAUUUAUUGGGCGUAAAGCGAGCGCAGGCGGUUUCUUAAGUCUGAUGUGAAAGCCCCCGGCUCAACCGGGGAGGGUCAUUGGAAACUGGGAGACUUGAGUGCAGAAGAGGAGAGUGGAAUUCCAUGUGUAGCGGUGAAAUGCGUAGAUAUAUGGAGGAACACCAGUGGCGAAGGCGGCUCUCUGGUCUGUAACUGACGCUGAGGCUCGAAAGCGUGGGGAGCAAACAGGAUUAGAUACCCUGGUAGUCCACGCCGUAAACGAUGAGUGCUAAGUGUUGGAGGGUUUCCGCCCUUCAGUGCUGCAGCAAACGCAUUAAGCACUCCGCCUGGGGAGUACGACCGCAAGGUUGAAACUCAAAGGAAUUGACGGGGGCCCGCACAAGCGGUGGAGCAUGUGGUUUAAUUCGAAGCAACGCGAAGAACCUUACCAGGUCUUGACAUCCUUUGACCACUCUAGAGAUAGAGCUUUCCCUUCGGGGACAAAGUGACAGGUGGUGCAUGGUUGUCGUCAGCUCGUGUCGUGAGAUGUUGGGUUAAGUCCCGCAACGAGCGCAACCCUUAUUGUUAGUUGCCAUCAUUUAGUUGGGCACUCUAGCGAGACUGCCGGUGACAAACCGGAGGAAGGUGGGGAUGACGUCAAAUCAUCAUGCCCCUUAUGACCUGGGCUACACACGUGCUACAAUGGGAAGUACAACGAGUCGCUAGACCGCGAGGUCAUGCAAAUCUCUUAAAGCUUCUCUCAGUUCGGAUUGCAGGCUGCAACUCGCCUGCAUGAAGCCGGAAUCGCUAGUAAUCGCGGAUCAGCACGCCGCGGUGAAUACGUUCCCGGGCCUUGUACACACCGCCCGUCACACCACGAGAGUUUGUAACACCCGAAGUCGGUGAGGUAACCUUUUUGGAGCCAGCCGCCUAAGGUGGGAUAGAUGAUUGGGGGAAGUCUACAACGUACCCC
rnacentral:rRNA from 1 species